GACGAACGCUGGCGGCGUGCUUAACACAUGCAAGUCGAACGGAAAGGCCCUGCUUUUGUGGGGUGCUCGAGUGGCGAACGGGUGAGUAACACGUGAGUAACCUGCCCUUGACUUUGGGAUAACUUCAGGAAACUGGGGCUAAUACCGGAUAGGAGCUCCUGCUGCAUGGUGGGGGUUGGAAAGUUUCGGCGGUUGGGGAUGGACUCGCGGCUUAUCAGCUUGUUGGUGGGGUAGUGGCUUACCAAGGCUUUGACGGGUAGCCGGCCUGAGAGGGUGACCGGCCACAUUGGGACUGAGAUACGGCCCAGACUCCUACGGGAGGCAGCAGUGGGGAAUAUUGCACAAUGGGCGGAAGCCUGAUGCAGCAACGCCGCGUGCGGGAUGACGGCCUUCGGGUUGUAAACCGCUUUCGCCUGUGACGAAGCGUGAGUGACGGUAAUGGGUAAAGAAGCACCGGCUAACUACGUGCCAGCAGCCGCGGUGAUACGUAGGGUGCGAGCGUUGUCCGGAUUUAUUGGGCGUAAAGGGCUCGUAGGUGGUUGAUCGCGUCGGAAGUGUAAUCUUGGGGCUUAACCCUGAGCGUGCUUUCGAUACGGGUUGACUUGAGGAAGGUAGGGGAGAAUGGAAUUCCUGGUGGAGCGGUGGAAUGCGCAGAUAUCAGGAGGAACACCAGUGGCGAAGGCGGUUCUCUGGGCCUUUCCUGACGCUGAGGAGCGAAAGCGUGGGGAGCGAACAGGCUUAGAUACCCUGGUAGUCCACGCUGUAAACGGUGGGUACUAGGUGUGGGGUCCAUUCCACGGGUUCCGUGCCGUAGCUAACGCUUUAAGUACCCCGCCUGGGGAGUACGGCCGCAAGGCUAAAACUCAAAGGAAUUGACGGGGCCCCGCACAAGCGGCGGAGCAUGCGGAUUAAUUCGAUGCAACGCGUAGAACCUUACCUGGGUUUGACAUGGAUCGGGAGCGCUCAGAGAUGGGUGUGCCUCUUUUGGGGUCGGUUCACAGGUGGUGCAUGGCUGUCGUCAGCUCGUGUCGUGAGAUGUUGGGUUAAGUCCCGCACCGAGCGCAACCCUUGUUCACUGUUGCCAGCACGUUAUGGUGGGGACUCAGUGGAGACCGCCGGGGUCAACUCGGAGGAAGGUGGGGAUGACGUCAAGUCAUCAUGCCCCUUAUGUCCAGGGCUUCACGCAUGCUACAAUGGCUGGUACAGAGAGUGGCGAGCCUGUGAGGGUGAGCGAAUCUCGGAAAGCCGGUCUCAGUUCGGAUUGGGGUCUGCAACUCGACCUCAUGAAGUCGGAGUCGCUAGUAAUCGCAGAUCAGCAACGCUGCGGUGAAUACGUUCCCGGG
rnacentral:rRNA from 1 species